rnacentral:rRNA from 1 species
GAUGAACGCUGGCGGCGUGCCUAAUACAUGCAAGUCGAGCGAACGGACGAGAAGCUUGCUUCUCUGAUGUUAGCGGCGGACGGGUGAGUAACACGUGGAUAACCUACCUAUAAGACUGGGAUGACUUCGGGAAACCGGAGCUAAUACCGGAUAAUAUUUUGAACCGCAUGGUUCAAAAGUGAAAGACGGUCUUGCUGUCACUUAUAGAUGGAUCCGCGCUGCAUUAGCUAGUUGGUAAGGUAACGGCUUACCAAGGCAACGAUGCAUAGCCGACCUGAGAGGGUGAUCGGCCACACUGGAACUGAGACACGGUCCAGACUCCUACGGGAGGCAGCAGUAGGGAAUCUUCCGCAAUGGGCGAAAGCCUGACGGAGCAACGCCGCGUGAGUGAUGAAGGUCUUCGGAUCGUAAAACUCUGUUAUUAGGGAAGAACAUAUGUGUAAGUAACUGUGCACAUCUUGACGGUACCUAAUCAGAGAGCCACGGCUAACUACGUGCCAGCAGCCGCGGUAAUACGUAGGUGGCAAAGCGUAUCCGGAAUUAUUGGGCGUAGCGCGCGUGGCGGUUUUUUAGUCUGAUGUGAAAGCCCACGGCUUCACCGUGGAGGGUCAUUGGAAACUGGAAAACUUGAGUGCAGAAGAGGAAAGUGGAAUUCCAUGUGUAGCGGUGAAAUGCGCAGAGAUAUGGAGGAACACCAGUGGCGAAGGCGACUUUCUGGUCUGUAACUGACGCUGAUGUGCGAAAGCGUGGGGAUCAAACAGGAUUAGAUACCCUGGUAGUCCACGCCGUAAACGAUGAGUGCUAAGUGUUAGGGGGUUUCCGCCCCUUAGUGCUGCAGCUAACGCAUUAAGCACUCCGCCUGGGGAGUACGACCGCAAGGUUGAAACUCAAAGGAAUUGACGGGGACCCGCACAAGCGGUGGAGCAUGUGGUUUAAUUCGAAGCAACGCGAAGAACCUUACCAAAUCUUGACAUCCUUUGACAACUCUAGAGAUAGAGCCUUCCCCUUCGGGGGACAAAGUGACAGGUGGUGCAUGGUUGUCGUCAGCUCGUGUCGUGAGAUGUUGGGUUAAGUCCCGCAACGAGCGCAACCCUUAAGCUUAGUUGCCAUCAUUAAGUUGGGCACUCUAAGUUGACUGCCGGUGACAAACCGGAGGAAGGUGGGGAUGACGUCAAAUCAUCAUGCCCCUUAUGAUUUGGGCUACACACGUGCUACAAUGGACAAUACAAAGGGCAGCGAAACCGCGAGGUCAAGCAAAUCCCAUAAAGUUGUUCUCAGUUCGGAUUGUAGUCUGCAACUCGACUACAUGAAGCUGGAAUCGCUAGUAAUCGUAGAUCAGCAUGCUACGGUGAAUACGUUCCCGGGUCU